UCACUCUCGUUCACGCUCGUCUCCCUCUCUCACUUUUCUCUCUCGCCGGAAAUCGCUUCCGCCGCGCCGGAGGCGGCGGAGCAUGACCUUACACCUAAUAAUCCAAAAUCACAACCCUUGCUUCAACCUGAACCCUAUCCUGACCUCAAUUUCACAAAGAGAAAACUCUAAUGUCGUAGAUCGACAAAGGGGAAAUGCGAGCCCUAAAUUCCGAUCAUCAACGAUUUGCAAAAAAAAACGAACGUGAUUCUGGAGAUUGAAGAAAGGCGACGGACGGACCAGCAUCAAACAAUGAUAAAGCAUCAAGAACACGCAAGAAGGAGGAUGGUGAAGACUUACCUGAAUCGUUGAUCGUUGAAUGAGUUGACCGAGAAUACCAGAGGUGAGGAUCCAGUGCUCGGGUGCGAAAUAAACGCAGGAACACGUCGAGUUCUUCAGAGGUUGAAGCUUUGGAAUUGUUGCUCAAAGAUUGAAGGUUGCUUGCGAUUCGUUUUGCUGAGAGAGAAAGAGUUGCAGAAGUGGUGAAGGUUGGGAUGAAGAUGAUGAGAGUGAAGCGAUGGUGUAUGUACAAUGGUGGAGAUGAUGAAGAUGUGAAGUUUGAGAAAUGGUGAAUCGUUUUUCUGCGAGGCUUUUUCUGAGUUUUUGUGUACCAAUUGCAGAGAAACAAGAUGAAGUGAAGGAGAAGAUGCAGAUUGAAGAACAAAGAGAGGUUCAGAGGAGUUUGAAGGUGAUGAAGAUGAGUUCAGAGAGAGAAGGUUGAAGAUUGAGAGAGAGUAAAGAACUGAGAGUGAAGAUUGGUGAUGAUUGAAGAGUGAAGGUGGAGGAGAAUGGUGGAGAGUGAAGAAUGAGAGAAUGGAGAGGAGGUUCUGAAUGAUGAUGUUUCUGAUUUAUAGAAGCUGAAGGUUGGUGGAUUGGUGAGAGAGGAUUGGAGACUGAAGAGAAGGAUCGGCAAGAGAUAACAACUGAUACAGUAGAAGCUUCAAUCACAGGAAGCAAGCCAGUAUGGGAGCUAGCUACAGGAGAUGAAACGAAGAAAUCCGCCAUUGCAACUGAACCAUUGGCCCCUUUCAUACAGUAAACAUCAUGUUCCAUGAAUUUCUCAGAUAAUACGAUGCCAAGUUCACCUUCAGCUCCAUAUGCAUCACUUAGUAAUACAAUGGACUGUAUCUCGGGUUCAAGUUCGUCAAGACUGCCAGCUUUCAUUGCAUUUACAUGGGAUCCGAUUUCAUCCUCCAUCAUGUCGAGGAAUUUCCUAAAAUCAAAGCUGUAAUUAAGAUCAUUCUCUUGACAUAAAAGAAUAUCAAACCGGUCUGUA